rnacentral:lncRNA from 1 species
GCAGUUCUAGGAGCUAGGGAAUUAAGUGAUUGCAUUCAUUUUGUGCACAGUCCUGUGCUAUCUGUGAAAAACAUUUAUGUAAAAGAGCCUGGAAUAUGCUCUGAGUUUUUUGGAAGUCAUAUCAUAUCUUGUCUCUUUUACAGAUUACAUGACUGAAUACCAGGAUCUUUUCAGUUACCACUAUGGUCUGUGUACCAAGUUUUAUUCCACCAAUUAGCUUAUCAGCUGGAAUUCCUGGUACAUGAAGAAAUUUUGGGGUAUAAUAUCCCUAUAGUGAGGAGGAAUUGGAAAUAAUAUUUGUACACUGCUUUAGAAAUGUUUGCUUGUGUGAUGAAUAUGAAGCAGGUUUAUUCAUUCUGCCAACUUUGAAUUCAUAUGGUGUAGCAGAUAAAAUUAUUAUUUGGCCUUUGCUCUUGCGGUCUUUCACUGCAGAAGCUGCCCAAAUCGUCCCACUUAACCUGUUGCUGUAGAAGUUAUAAAUUAAUUUAGAGAGGCAUCAACAACUUUUUUUGACAGAAGGAUUCAAAUAUUAGGAAAAAAAAUACCCUGCAAUAAGCUUGUCCUACAAAAGAAUUUUGGCCUUCUUUCCUGUGGAUUCCCUGUCAAAGAAGUCCUCCAAGAAUUAUGCCAAGAAGUUCCACAGGAACCCAUGUUUUCUGUGGGCAUGAAAGCUCAAAUCCAGAAGUGACUACCAAAAUAUACAAUUUCAAGAAGGACAGAACAACAUAAAAGGAACAAAUAAGCCUGUGAAUGUCAUCUUGGGAUGCCUGCUGCAAAACCACCAGCUGGAUUAUUGAGAUUUCCUUCAAUGCCACCACCUGAACCAUGGAGUGGUUGGACAGACUCCAUUUCCUACCUUCAAGUGAGAAAUUGGAGCUGAGACUUAACACCUCUACUGUAAAAACAAUUCUGAAGAACAAAAGAGCAAUGGGAAGUUUAAACACUACAAAGGUAAUGACGUGA